rnacentral:rRNA from 1 species
GUCCACGCUGUAAACGAUGAUCACUAGAUGUUAGUUCUAUUUAAUAGGAUUAGUAUCGUAGCUAACGCGUUAAGUGAUCCGCCUGGGGACUACGGUCGCAAGACUAAACUCAAAGAAAUUGACGGGGGCCCGCACAAGCGGUGGAACAUGUGGUUUAAUUCGACACUACGCGAGGAACCUUACCUAGGCUUGACAUGCUUUUGACAGUCGCAGAAACGCGAUCUUCCUGGCUUCGGUCAGGACAACUGCACAGGUGCUGCAUGGCUGUCGU